AAGCUCGUAGUUGAAUUUCGGGAUUGGCGCAUCGGUCGUGCCUUACGGGGUAUGAACUGGUGCAGUCAAUUUCUCACCUUCUGGAGAACCGCGAUGUCCUUAAUUGGGUGCCGUGGGGAACCAGGACCUUUACUUUGAAAAAAUUAGAGUGUUUAAAGCAGGCAUUUUUGCUUGAAUACAUUAGCAUGGAAUAAUAAAAUAGGACGGCAUGGUUCUAUUUUGUUGGUUUCUAGGACCACCGUAAUGAUUAAUAGGGAUAGUUGGG
rnacentral:rRNA from 1 species